rnacentral:rRNA from 1 species
AUUCCGGCUCCAAUAGCGUAUAUUAAAGUUGUUGCAGUUAAAAAGCUCGUAGUUGGAUUUGUGGCUUUCGGUGUGUUCCAGGCACUUGUGUCUGAGUAACCUGCUGAUGCCAUCCUUGGGUGGAACCUGUGUGGCAUUAGGUUGUCGUGCAGGGGAUGCCCAUCAUUUACUGUGAAAAAAUUAGAGUGUUCAAAGCAGGCUUAUGCCGUUGAAUAUAUUAGCAUGGAAUAAUAAGAUAGGACUUUUUUGCUAUUUUGUUGGUUUGCGCAAAGAGGUAAUGAUUAAUAGGGACAGUUGGGGGUAUUCGUAUUCCAUUGUCAGAGGUGAAAUUCUUGGAUUUCUGGAAGACGAACUACUGCGAAAGCAUUUACCAAGGAUGUUUUCAUUA